UAACAUUGUAACAUUUUGGAGAGGCUAUUCCAAAACCGUCUGUGACAGUUGGGAAUGCUCCCGGCCACCAGGGUGACGCGCGCUUCUGGCCAGUGUAGGCAGCUGGGAGUUGCAGGUCCAUGACCCUCGUACAGUCGGGGUCCGGGAAAUACCUAAAGGCUGGCCUGGGCUAGGGGCUCCAAGCUGUCGAGCGAGGCAGGGGCGGCGGGCUCAGCCCCUGUGUGUGUAGAUUUUCCGCAUGAAGUUGCCUGCGCGUCGCAAGAGCGAAAUGUCAGAGGGCAGAUCUUUUCUCAAUGAAGUAAAAUCACAGUGAAAAUUCCAGGUAAAGCUGAUUUCUAAGCCUUGGUAGGAUACCCAUUUAGUUAAGGGGAUGCCUUUUUUUUCUUUGGUUAUAGUUAUUUUCUUCUGUCUUUUUUCUUUAAGGGGUCACCUAGAUAAUCAGUGCUUCUAGGAAAUACUCCAAACUGGCCAGUGUAUUUGUCAUAUUGCUUCAGAAGAACAUUGGGGUGCAGGGAAGACAGCUGCCAGGAACCCGAAUUUAGAAUUACAGAAUUUUGUAUUUGGAAAAUACCCGAGAGACUUCUUUGUCUAAACCCUGCUUUUAGAGAUGAUGAAAUGUAGGGAUUAUAUGAUUUCAGCCAAUUUGUGGUAAACAGAAAUUCAGCAACUAUUGCUUGAUGGCUUCAAGAAGAUAAGCCCCAAACCUGUGGGUCUCCAAAGGAUUUUGCUGUGAAUUUCCUUUUCUUGGGCAGGGAUGUAGCUCAGAUGUAGAGUCCUUGUUAGCAAGCUCAGGGCCCUGUGUUCCAUCCUCAGCACCACACCAAAAAGAAAGAAAGAAAAAAAGAUUUUCCUUUUCUUGGGGCAGGAAGAGAUCUGAGACCAGAAUCUAGUUCAAUUCCCUUGUUUACUUUUUGGGAACACUGAAGAUCAAGAAAUGAAGUGAUUCACCUGAGCCCACAGGGUCACUCAGCUUGGCACAAAAGUUAGAUCCUACAUACCCAACUAAUGUCCUUCCCACCAGAUACAACCCCCCAACCAAAUGGACAGGCAGUUUUCAUAUUCUGGGAUUUGUAGAGGCUUCUAAGUAAGCAAGUUCAAAUUCCAGGCUUUGGUUGCUUUGUUUGCAGAGGCAGUUUGUAAAACCAGUUGUCCUUCCCCUGAACACAUGGAAGAAAGAAAAGGAAAAGGUUGAUUCUGCAACCCGGCACUUCCUCGUUUUAUGAGUCACUUUUAUAAAGAAAGAGCUACACAUUGCUUGGGGACUAAUCCAAGACUUUCUUACUCAGUAAACUUUUAGUGAGCACAUAGCAUGUACCAAAUGCAGUGUCAGGCACUGGGUCUGCAAAGAGCGGCUGGUUGCCUUGUAGGUGUUUGCGGUGUGCAGUCUAACAUGCAAAACAGGCACUGUCACCUGGUAAGUCUUAGAAAUCAAGCUAUUCCACUGUUAGGCUAUACUGUGGUCUUCACAGCUAGAUGCAUUAGGAAAUGGGAUGCUUUACCAUGGUAAAGGCAUAAGCUUUGGAGUAGUGGGUUGGGGUGCCCUCUUAUCUUUAUGAUGAUCCCAGUGAUAAGAAAGCAAAUUGUUCUCCAAAAUCUAAGUCUGCAAGAGAAAAUUACUUCAAUCUAGCCACAACAGAAUAGCACAAACAUGAACCACUGUUUAAAGAAUAAAGGAAUUGGCCAUCCAGAAGGGGCAUGGAAGGCAACUAGAAGUCAAAAGUUCACUAUCUUCUAAGCGGCUGUCACAAACCACAUCUGACCAGUGUGUCCACUCAUGUUUCCAGGAGCCUUCUACCAUUCGCACUUUCCUCCUAGCUUAGUUUCCUGGGGUCACUUAGCCAGGUUUGACCUAAGAUAAUAGCUG
ensembl:lncRNA